AGCAACUUGGCGCAGGGGUAGCGCGCGGGGCUCAUAUUUACGACUUAUGUGACCCCGAGGUCACUCGAUCGAAACGAGUAGUUGCUA